CGUGUAGGCGGAAAUGAAAGUCAUAUGUGAAAUCCCGGAGCUCAACUUCGGAACUGCAUCUGAAACUUCAUUUCUUGAGGAUAGACGGAGAAAACGGAAUUCCACGUGUAGCGGUGAAAUGCGUAGAUAUGUGGAAGAACACCUGUGGCGAAAGCGGUUUUCUAGUUUAUACCUGACGCUGAGGCGCGAAAGCUAGGGGAGCAAACAGGAUUAGAUACCCUGGUAGUCC
rnacentral:rRNA from 1 species